UUUUAGACUAAAUUUUUUUAUAAUACAUACGAGUCAUAUAAUACUAUGACAGAGGUACUUUGAGGAGAUAAUAUAUUUUGUAACUUUGUUGUAUACACUUGAAAGAAAGAAGAAGAAAAAGAAUUUUAUUUUUAUUUUUUUUGGUUGGGUUGCCUAAAUGGAUGGGGUAUUUUUUUUGUAUUUCACGUGAGAGAGAGAGGGGGAAAACGAAAAGAAACAAGAGUGGGCUUUUAAAAAUGGGCCCACAGUGUGGCAGUAGCAGGCUGAGAGAUUGAUAGAAUUAAUGGGUCCCCACUAAAACGGCAAUCCGAUGGAUCCCAAAAAACAUAUUUUCCAAAGAAAAUGGAGAAAAUGAGAGAGAGAGAGAGAGAGAGAUCUUCGUUAGUGUUUAUCCGAAAAUCCCUUUCACAGUUCAACUCACGCUUUUGGAUUUUAUCUCUCUUUCAUUUUUUUUUUUUUUUUUUGGACAAUGUCUUUCAUUUCUUUGUUUUUCCUUUUUUUUCAUUGUAAAAUUUUAGUUUUUAGAAAAAUAGUAAAAAAAAAAAAAAAAGAAUGGUAAAUUUUAUUAAUAUUUGCUUCUGGGCCACAAGAAGGAUGAAAACAAUAUGCUAUAGUCGGCAAUGGUCCUAC
rnacentral:lncRNA from 1 species